CUAGCGGGAUGCCUUACACAUGCAAGUCGAACGGCAGCGCGGACUUCGGUCUGGCGGCGAGUGGCGAACGGGUGAGUAAUAUAUCGGAACGUGCCUAGUAGCGGGGGAUAACUACUCGAAAGAGUGGCUAAUACCGCAUACGCCCUACGGGGGAAAGGGGGGGAUCGCAAGACCUCUCACUAUUAGAGCGGCCGAUAUCGGAUUAGCUAGUUGGUGGGGUAAAGGCCCACCAAGGCGACGAUCCGUAGCUGGUUUGAGAGGACGACCAGCCACACUGGGACUGAGACACGGCCCAGACUCCUACGGGAGGCAGCAGUGGGGAAUUUUGGACAAUGGGGGAAACCCUGAUCCAGCCAUUCCGCGUGUGCGAUGAAGGCCUUCGGGUUGUAAAGCACUUUUGGCAGGAAAGAAAUCGCACAGAUUAAUACUUUGUGUGGAUGACGGUACCUGCAGAAUAAGCACCGGCUAACUACGUGCCAGCAGCCGCGGUAAUACGUAGGGUGCAAGCGUUAAUCGGAAUUACUGGGCGUAAAGCGUGCGCAGGCGGUUCGGAAAGAGAGGUGUGAAAUCCCAGGGCUUAACCUUGGAACUGCACUUUUAACUCCCGAGCUAGAGUAUGUCAGAGGGGGGUGGAAUUCCGCGUGUAGCAGUGAAAUGCGUAGAUAUGCGGAGGAACACCGAUGGCGAAGGCAGCCCC
rnacentral:rRNA from 1 species